GCAUAUCAAUAAGCGGAGGAAAAGAAACCAACAGGGAUUGCCCUAGUAACGGCGAGUGAAGCGGCAACAGCUCAAAUUUGAAAUCUGGCUCUUUCAGAGUCCGAGUUGUAAUUUGCAGAGGGCGCUUUGGCUUUGGCAGCGGUCCAAGUUCCUUGGAACAGGACGUCACAGAGGGUGAGAAUCCCGUACGUGGUCGCUAGCUAUUGCCGUGUAAAGCCCCUUCGACGAGUCGAGUUGUUUGGGAAUGCAGCUCUAAAUGGGAGGUAAAUUUCUUCUAAAGCUAAAUAUUGGCCAGAGACCGAUAGCGCACAAGUAGAGUGAUCGAAAGAUGAAAAGCACUUUGGAAAGAGAGUCAAACAGCACGUGAAAUUGUUGAAAGGGAAGCGCUUGCAGCCAGACUUGCUUGCAGUUGCUCAUCCGGGCUUUUGCCCGGUGCACUCUUCUGCAGGCAGGCCAGCAUCAGUUUGGGCGGUGGGAUAAAGGUCUCUGUCAUGUACCUCUCUUCGGGGAGGCCUUAUAGGGGAGGCGACAUACCACCAGCCUAGACUGAGGUCCGCGCAUCUGCUAGGAUGCUGGCGUAAUGGCUGUAAGCGGCCCGUCUUGAAACACGGACCAAGGAGUCUAACAUCUAUGCGAGUGUUUGGGUGUCAAGCCCGAGCGCGUAAUGAAAGUGAACGGAGGUGGGAACCCGCAAGGGUGCACCAUCGACCGAUCCUGAAGUUUACGGAAGGAUUUGAGUAAGAGCAUGGCUGUUGGGACCCGAAAGAUGGUGAACUAUGCUUGAAUAGGGUGAAGCCAGAGGAAACUCUGGUGGAGGCUCGCAGCGGUUCUGACGUGCAAAUCGAUCGUCAAAUUUGGGCAUAGGGGCGAAAGACUAAUCGAACUAUCUAGUAGCUGGUCUGCG
rnacentral:rRNA from 1 species